GAUGAACGCUGGCGGCGUGCCUAAUACAUGCAAGUCGAGCGAACGGACGGGGAGCUUUCUUGUCUGCUGCUAGCGACGGGCGGGUGAGUCACACGUAGCUGACUUGUCUAGGAGACUGGCAUCAGUUCGGGAAACCUGAUCCAAUAUCGGAUAAUAGUUUGAACCGCAGGGUUCUACAGACAUAGACCGUCUUGCUGACACUUAUAGAGAUAUCCGAGCUGCAUUAGCUAGUUGGUAAGGUAACGGCUUACCGAGGCGACGAUGCAUAGCUGAACUGAGAGGGUGAUCGGCCACACUGGAACUGAGACACGGUCCAGACUCCUACGGGAGGCAGCAGUAGGGAAUCUUCCGCAAUGGGCGAAAGCCUGACGGAGCAACGCCGCGUGAGUGAUGAAGGUCUUCGGAUCGUAAAACUCUGUUAUUAGGGAAGAACAUAUGUGUAAGUAACUGUGCACAUCUUGACGGUACCUAAUCAGAAAGCCACGGCUAACUACGUG
rnacentral:rRNA from 1 species